UAGUGAUUUGCGGNUGGAUCACCUCCUUACCAAAAGCGACGUUGUCUUGUUGACGAGAGUCAAUGAGUGUUCACACAGAUUGUAUGAUUGAUUAGUUUAAGAGAUUUAUGUGUCCCGUUCGUCUAGAGGCCUAGGACACCGCCCUUUCACGGCGGUAACAGGGGUUCAAAUCCCCUACGGGAUACCACAUUUAAGUGUUUUUGCGAAAGCGAAGAAUAUUUAAAUGUGGUUUGCAUAAACCAUUGCUCUUUAACAAUUUGGAAAGCUGAUAAAGUUCAUUGAACAUCUGUGAUGAGAUGUUCAAUACCGAGUUAUCACGUAAGUGAUAAUUCAAGCAAACAAACAUGAUGAUGCAGUAAUGCAUUAUCGCUAAGUGUAAAAACUUGGCACAACUUGUUCGCAAGUGUCUUGUGUAAUAUCUAGGCAAAUGACGUUAAAACGUCAUUAACAAUAGAACACUGUUUAGGUGUUGUAUGGUUAAGUGAAUAAGCGUGCACGGUGGAUGCCUUGGCAGUCAGAGGCGAUGAAGGACGUGGAAGUCUGCGAAAAGCGUGGGGGAGUUGACAACAAGCGUUCUUNNNCGGGAUGUCCGAAUGGGGAAACCCGGAAUCGAAU
rnacentral:misc_RNA from 1 species